AGAGCGAACGCUGGCGGCGUGCCUAACACAUGCAAGUCGAACGAGAAAGUGGAGCAAUCCACGAGUAAAGUGGCGCACGGGUGAGUAACACGUGACUAACCUACCCUUGAGUGGGGAAUAACUGAGGGAAACCUUAGCUAAUACCGCAUAACACCUACGGGUCAAAGGAGCAAUUCGCUUAAGGAGGGGUCGCGGCAGAUUAGUUAGUUGGCGGGGUAAUGGCCCACCAAGACAGUGAUCUGUA
rnacentral:rRNA from 1 species